AGAGGAAAUCUAACUAAGAUACACACUAAAUUCAGUAAAGCUGCUGUGUAAAUGGCAUUUCAAAUCACUGCUACCGCCACUGACAGAGAUGACGUCAGCUCUUUGCCACCUGAGUAAAUAAAUAUUUAUAAGGUGCUAUAUGUCUGAAGAAUGUCACACUGCUCCAACAGACUUCAUUUUCAGGCUAGAGUGAAACAGGCAGGUUCUUUAAAACAUCAUCAACAACAACCCAGUCACCACAUUUGAUGAGUUGUCCACUCUCUUCUCUAAUACAGCAGCUCCAGGUUCUAUCCCGAGGGCAAACCACGCAACCAGGCCAUCCUCCUCUUCUUCUGGGACUCCUCCGGUGUGGGCCUGCGAGCCUUUCCUCAUCUCAAGCUCGACUCCAAGGAACACCAAGAAACUGGACCACAUCAGGAUGCCCGUUCCUGGCUGCGUACAUUAGAGCAGUCCACCCGUUCUCAGAAGUCUCAUUGAGAAGAGAUGGAGAAUGACUCAGUAUUCCUGCUAGCUUUGCAACAUCUCCUUCUGCAGCUGAAUUGUGGAGUUCAGAAAUCAUUUCCCUUUUGGGAUUUAUUUUAACAGAAGACAUUUCUUCCUUAAAAAAAAAAGUGAGAAAAACCUUAUGAACAAUUGUUUUUUGCAUGAAUGGAUGAGCAUUAUUUAAAUGCUGAUCUUGGAAAGACAGUAAAUACAUUUCCAAACCAAUACACCUGUCAAAAGAUAAUUCCUAGUCAACUGCUAUUGCAGCAGAGCAGGGGGAUCUAGAGGAGGGGGCUAAAGCAGACAGAACUAGAGAGAGAUGCUUAUGAAGAUGUACUGCAGGUCCAACCCAGAGCCUUGUCUCCUGGAUUUUGAAACAGUAAUAUGGCUAGUCAAAUCCACAGCCUAGUAUGUUUAAAGUUCAGGAAAACAACAGGUCCAAGAUUAACUUUC